UACGGAGGGUGCGAGCGUUGUUCGGAAUUACUGGGCGUAAAGCGCGUGUAGGCGGCCUCCUCAGUCUGGUGUGAAAGCCCGGGGCUCACCCCCGGAAGUGCAUUGGAUACUGGGAGGCUGGAGUACCGGAGAGGAGGGUGGAAUUCCUGGUGUAGCGGUGAAAUGCGUAGAUAUCAGGAGGAACACCGGUGGCGAAGGCGGCCCUCUGGACGGAUACUGACGCUGAGACGCGAAAGCGUGGGGAGCAAACAGG
rnacentral:rRNA from 1 species